AUGGCGGCGAUGCAUUCGUGGUCCAGGGACCUCACAAGCGGCGAGUCCACGAGGCUUCCCGUGAGCGCUGACCAGCUCGGGUUCGUCAUCCGUGCCGAGCUCGUCGACCGGGAGAGCGCCGGCGCCGGCCAGAACGUGCGCGUGGCCGUACACGCCAACACCGGCGAGGAGAUGCAGAGGUUCGUGCUGUCGGCGGAGAGGCCCUUCGUGGAGCCGGGGUCCGUGCCGGGGCUGCACGAGGAGUUCUCUCUCGACCGGGAGGCCGACUCCGCUACCCACGCGGUCGUUCGCUUACACGGUUUCCAUAUUACACAGCCGCCUGACAUGAACAGCAGCGACGAGCUCGAUAUGAGCAGCCUCGGCGACGAAGAGCUGGUACAGAUGGAGUACGUCCCCGAGGGCCGGUUUCUUGGAGGCCCGGUGCCGUGGUUUGCCGCCGCAGGGUGCACGGCCGGCUGCAUGCGGGUCGCCGCCGUGGAGGACCGAGAAGAAGCCGACAGCAAGCAGAUCCUGGUGCUCUACCGCUACACCACUUUCUCGGCCUCAUCGGAGGGCGUGGUAGCGCGAGGGAGAACCAGGGCGCACCUGCUCCGGUUCAUCGCCACGGGCGACCACACGGCGAGGUCGCUGGCGUGGGCCGGAUCAUCUCUGGUCCGGCUGAUAUACCCCAGUCACUUCAGCGAGCAGCUCCAGGAGCUAUGGUCGAGCCUGGCGUCGCAGGUGAGCGUGCUGCCGCGCGCCGCGCGCGUCGAGGUGUUCGUCGACGUCGGCAUCCUCCGGAGGUCGGACUGCACGCCGGAGCGCGUGGACCGGAUGCGCACCGCGCUGGAGCACAUGGCGGAGGAGCCGUGGCCCGGACGCUUCACCGGCAUGGAGAUGCACCUGCCGGUGCCGAUGCGGUGCGGCCAUGACAAAGACGAAGCCCCCAUCGACGACACGGACGCCGGUGAACGGCCAGCGAAGCGGAGGAAGGUCUUCGCCGCCGGGGAGGAUUGCCCCAUCUGCUUGCAGCAGCUCAAGGGAGACGACCUCGCCGCGUGGCCGGGGUGCGGCAAGCCCCACGUCUUCCAUGGCGCGUGCUUGGAGCGCGUCCACGUGGAGAAUAAGACGUGCCCUAUGUGCAGGCACAAGCUAUACAUCGAGCCCAAACUCUAA
rnacentral:rRNA from 1 species